rnacentral:rRNA from 1 species
GAAAAAUUUGGUGUUAAUUUAAUUAAAAUAAUAGGUAAAUAAUUUUGUUUUAGUAAAUAAAUUGAAAUAAUUAUUUGAAUUAUAUUAAUAAUUGUAAAAUAUAUUUUAUUUAAUAUUUUAAUUAUUUAAAAAGAUAAAUUUAAUUUUUGUACCUUUUGUAUCAGGGUUAAUUAAAAAUUUUUAAUUAAUAAUUAAAUAUUUCGAAAUUAAUUGAGUUAAAAUUUAAUAAUAGUUAAUAUUUUAUAUUUAUUAUAAAUUGAAUUUUAGAAAUUAUAUGUUAGGCAUAAUUAUUGAUAUCUAAUUAUUUAAUAAAUGAAUUUAAUUCAUUAAUUUAUUUGAUUUUAAAAAAUAUUUUUUUUAUUUAAUAAAUUAAAAAAUUUUAAGGGAUAAACUUUAAAAUUAAAAUUAUAAUAUUAAAUUAUUUUAUUUUAAAGUAUAAUUUAAAAUUUUAAUCUUUUUAAAGUUUUUAAUAAUUUAAAUUUAUAUAAAAAUGUAAUGUAUUAAUAAUUAAUUAAAGAUAUUUAAUUUUUUUAUUAAAUUUUAAAUUUUAAUAGUUUAUAUUUAAUAAUAAUGAUUAAAUUAGUAUAAAUCUAAAAUUUUAUUAAAUUAAUGAUUUUUAAAAUUAAGUUAAUGAAUUCGGCAAAUAUAAAUAUUUACCUGUUUAUUAAAAACAUGUCUUUAAGUAUAUAAUUUAAAGUCAAAUCUACUCAAUGAUUAAAAUUUAAUAGUUGCAAUAUUUUGAUUGUACAAAGGUAGCAUAAUGAUUUGUCUUUUAAUUGGAGAAUGGAAUGAAAGAUUAAAUAAAAUAUUAACUAUAUAAAAUUUAAUUUAUUAUAAAAAUUUAUUUUUAAGUAAAAAAUCUUAAAUUUAUUUAUUAGACGAUAAGACCCUAUAGAAUUUUAUAAAUAAUUUUUUAUUUAAUAAAAAGUUUAUUUAAAUUAUUUAUUUAAAUUAUUUAUUAUAUUGGGGGUAUAAAAAAAUUAAAUAAUUUUUUUAUAUAAAAAAAUAUUAAAUGGAUAAUUAUAUUUAAAAAAGAGUGUUUAAUUUAAAAUGUUAGAAUAAAUUACCUUAGGGAUAACAGCAUAAUUUUUUUGGAGAGAUCUUAUUGAUAAAAAAGAUUGUGACCUCGAUGUUGAAUUAAGAUAAAUAUUAAAAGAAGAAUUUUAAAUAAUUAAGUUUGUUCAACUUUUAAAAUCUUACAUGAUUUGAGUUAAAAUCGGUGUGAGCCAGAUUGGUUUUUAUCUAUAAUAAUUAUAAAAAAUAAUUGUACGAAAGGACUUUAUUUUUUAAAUUUUAAAAUAAUUAAAAUUUAUUGAAUUAAAUUAAUUAGAUAUAAAGAAUUUUUAUAAUAUCAU